GCUCCCUUAGCUCAGUUGGUUAGAGCGCAACACUCAUAAUGUUAGGGUCGCCGGUUCAAGCCCGGCAGGGAGCA
rnacentral:tRNA from 3 species